GUUGAAUAUUAUGCUUUAUCAACAGAAUUAAAACCUAAAAGCACAGACCAUUCUGUUAAAUGUCCAUGAUUUAAGGUUCUUGAAGUCUAUUGUUUCAUCACUUUGCAACAUUUGGCAAACUGCAGAGUGGUGGCCUUAAAUAGUAAAACUAUGUACUAUAAUUUCCAGUAUUUGUUCUGUAUUUUGUCAUAUCUCGUUGUUAAUGUGAGGUUUUUAGGGGGGUUGUGUUUGUGUUUGUUUUUUUGUUUUUUUCCCCCACAAUUUCUCAGAUGAAAUUGCAUUAAGUGAUGCUGAAACAAAGGACAGUGAGAGUGAAUCAGAUGAUGAUGACACAGCACUCACAAUGUCGGCGUGUGGCACCAGUGAGCCUGUACAUGCAGUAGCUGAUUCCACAAACACAGCGCAGCUCCAAGACACUGUAGAUUGUGCAGAUGAAGUACCACUCACAAUGCCUGCAGCAAGUGAGACUGCUGCUCCCUCUGAAGAGAAAAAUGCUGCUCAAUCCCACAAUUCCCGAAGAGCUCCCAAAAACAUGUGGUCCAAGGCUGAGGUUGCUGCAGUGAUGAGGCAUUUUAAAGACCACAUAAACGAAGGGAAACUAGCCACCAAAGAUGAAUGCAGUCAUUGCAAAUUGGUAGAAGAUCCGGUGUUGGCAGGAAGAACAGUUCAAAACAUACGAGAUUUUGUAAGAAACAGAGGAUUAACUGCAAAAAGGCAGAAAAAAAAUGAACUAAAAUAACUGUUUAGCCAGAUGUGGUUUUACAUCUUGGUCAGAUUGCCAAUUGUUAACACUGAUGUUCUGUUUAAAGAAAAAAAAAGUUCUUGUUAAAUACAGAAGUAGUUUGUAUUUCAUAAUUUUUACAUUUAAUUUAUUUAGGGUUUUUUUUGACGGGUUAUAUUUAAAAUAAAAAAUUAUAAAUGCAUAUUUUCUCCCCUUAAUAUUUACCUUU